rnacentral:rRNA from 1 species
GACGACGCUGGCGGCGUGCCUAACACAUGCAAGUCGAACGGAGAGGCUUGACAGAACACUUCGGUGGGACGACAAGUUUUCUUAGUGGCGGACGGGUGAGUAACGCGUGAGCAACCUACCUUUGAGAGGGGAAUAACAGUUGGAAACGGCUGCUAAUACCGCAUAAAGUCAGAAAGACGCAUGUUUUUCUGACCAAAGAUUUAUCGCUCAAAGAUGGGCUCGCGUCUGAUUAGAUAGUUGGUGAGGUAACAGCUCACCAAGGCGACGAUCAGUAGCCGACCUGAGAGGGUGAUCGGCCACAUUGGAACUGAGACACGGUCCAAACUCCUACGGGAGGCAGCAGUGGGGAAUAUUGCACAAUGGGCGAAAGCCUGAUGCAGCAACGCCGCGUGAGCGAUGAAGGCCUUCGGGUUGUAAACCUCUUUCAGCAGGGAAGAAGCGAAAGUGACGGUACCUGCAGAAGAAGCACCGGCUAACUACGUG